rnacentral:lncRNA from 1 species
UUUAGUUGGAUUUAAAUUAGUCUAAUUGGGCCUAACUUAUUUGGUUCAAUUAGGUUGGUUUAAAUAAUGAAACCACCUUGACCUAUUCUCCCUGCGCCACCUCACUUCCACUGCGCCCAUUUGAAUUCACGAGAAGGAAGUUCUCAUGAAUUUUUCCUCAUGCAAAGCCCUCCUCACGCCCUACUUUAAUGCACCAAAUGAGUGGAUAAGGAUGAUU